rnacentral:rRNA from 1 species
UACAGAGGUCUCAAGCGUUGUUCGGAUUCAUUGGGCGUAAAGGGUGCGUAGGCGGCGCGGUAAGUCGGGUGUGAAAUUUCGAGGCUUAACUUCGAAACUGCAUUCGAUACUGCCGUGCUAGAGGACUGGAGAGGAGACUGGAAUUUACGGUGUAGCGGUGAAAUGCGUAGAUAUCGUAAGGAAGACCAGUGGCGAAGGCGGGUCUCUGGACAGGUACUGACACUCAACUACGAAAGCGUGGGGAGCA